rnacentral:rRNA from 1 species
AUGCCGCAGAAGAGGCUCCGCCGCCGCCGCAGGAGGUCUCCUCGCCGGCGCCGUGGUGAAGAAGGCGCAUCUUUAUCUGCCCCCCUUGUCGAAUCGGAUAGCAGCAGCGUGACUUCCGGCGCACCGGCGCCGGAACCCCUCGACGAGCCGCCGGCUCGCGAGUACGAGUCCAGGUACCAUGAGAUGCUCGCCUCGCGCCUCGCCGUGCUGCCUCUACCAGCCUACGCCGACGAGGAAGGCCCAGAUCUCCCUUCUGAUGAAACCUUCGAAGCCCUCGUUCGUCCUUAUUUCUACGAUGACGAGCUGCGGGCUGCUCUGGUACAGUACCAAGCCCACAAGCUCUUGAGCGGACCAGAUGAUGUCCAUGGACGAGAUGGAGAUUCUGAGGCUGAAGUUGAUUCGUCCUCCUCACUGAUGGAUGAUAUCACCGAGGAGGAAUUCGUCAAGUACUCUGAAGAGCUCAAGGCUCGCAGCAGUGCUGAAAUUGACACUGACACUAGACUGAAUCAAGAGCAGUUCAACAGGCUCCAUGUCAAGUAUGUUCGUUAUCGCAUCAAAGCUUGCCUGUUGUUGAAAGGAAAGCAUAUCGACGAGCUAGACGACGCUACAUUGGAACGCAAGUGCCCUAUUGAGCUUGCCUUGGGGGACAAAGACUUGUCCCCUUACCUGGAAGAUGGCGCCUUUGGCUGGUAUUUCGACUCCGACCUCUGCUUACUUUCUUCCUUGAGCGACUACCAGCGGCUAGUCCUUCCUAACUGUACUUGGAGUGAGUAUGAAAGCUUGAGCCAAUACAUAGCGUUUUAUAACACCCCUGAAGUUGAUAGAGACUAUGUGCUGUACUGGGAAAAGAUGGUCAAGGAAAUUAAGUGGCUUGAAUAUCAUGUGCUUAAAGAAGAUACUCCGGAGUGGGAUCAAAUCCGUCGUAAAGGUUUAUACCAAGCAAUUAGGAUUGCUGCAGAGUUCCCCAACAUUGAUUUCAGUCUAGCAUAUUAUGGUUUCAUGGAGUAUAUAUGGAGGACUCGCUUUUAUGUCGUGUUUGUGAAAGGUCUUGACCGUGCCUAUUUUGAGAUUUGGGAGCGGGUUACUGGGCAGCAGAUGUGUUUCAGAGAUGCUCUGCAGGAAGUUUGCAAUGAGAAUUCGGUUCCAUCGCGCCAACACACUUUGAAGGACGAGCUAAAGCGACCCGGAGGCUUUUUGCAACUGGAGCAACAACUCCGCCGGUGCACAGAGGGCAUUAGUAAGGAAGUUCCAGAUUGGAUAGCUCGUGAGAUGAUUUCUCAGGAAGUUAGAUUCAAGCGCGCGUUGCCGAAGACGUAUGCGCAGUACGCCAGGAAGAAGCUCAAGGUUGCAGAAGCCAUAGGAUUGAUUCCCAAGGCCAAGGCCUAG